rnacentral:rRNA from 1 species
UACAGAGGUCUCAAGCGUUGUUCGGAUUCAUUGGGCGUAAAGGGUGCGUAGGCGGCGCGGUAAGUCGGGUGUGAAAUCUCGGGGCUUAACUCCGAAACUGCAUUCGAUACUGCCGUGCUUGAGGACUGGAGAGGAGACUGGAAUUUACGGUGUAGCGGUGAAAUGCGUAGAUAUCGUAAGGAACACCGGUGGCGAAGGCGGCAUCCUGGACCAACACUGACGCUGAGGAGCGAAAGCCAGGGGAGCAAACGGG